ensembl:lncRNA
UAUAUAAGCCACUGUGCAGUGCUUUUUCUCUCUGACUGAACUGAGUAAAGGGUCUCCAAGUACUCAGACUCCUUGAUGCACUGAUGGUGCUAAAAGCACCAUGGGUUUCGUAUGGAGUCACAGUUCUUGGGGGUGUUCAAGAACUGUGGAGAUGUGGCACUGAGGGCCAUGGUCAGUGGGGGUAGAUUGGAACUGGUCCAACCUUAAUGACUCUGGGAUUCUAUAUUGCAAAAUGUGAGCUCUUACUUAAAAGCUGGAUUCCCCCAGAUUGCUGCUUCUGCUUAGUGCUUUUCUUCCUACUUAUCCUGGGCACCAAGAAACCCCAAUAUCCAGUUCAGUGUCACUUCUGCUGCUCUGCAUGGGGGCUGGUGGAGGACUGCACCCUGAGAGCAGACUUAUUUGGGAGCUUGUUGAAUCAGGGAAGAAUGCUGGCUUUAUGAAAAGGAGCUCUAAAGGACUCGGGAAGCAGUAUAAGCUCUGUUUCCAGUUGAGUAGAUUGAGUUACACUUUGGGCUGCAGAGGGAGUAAAAUCUUCUGCCACUGGUCUAGAUGUAUGUCCACAUGGGGUGGGCCUGCCUUCUGCCUAGGGAUGAGCUGUGGUGCUGGAGCUCUUUGGUCUCUGCUCCACCCAUUUGUGGGAUGGCAGUGGUGCAGCCUCUGAGGGCUGCUUGGGGAGCAAUGUGUUUUGCAUAUAGAGCACCUGGGAGCACUAAAUGAUGACUUACAUUGGGCUUUAUGAAAGUAAAGACUCAUUUUUGUCUUGGAUAUGACUCAACAAAUGGAAGCGAUCAUCUCCUAGCUCUCUGGAAGGGGAAUUGGAGCAUGGGAGCUGGGUUGUCGCGGCACAGCAUCCAUAGUCCUGCAUCCAUCCCAUCCACAGGAGCUGAGAUGACAACAGGCAGGUUCCUGCUGCAGCUCACUUGCUGGAGGAGCAGAACCUUUGCUAAAGAUGAGGUGCUGGAUGCUCAGCGCUUUCCCCUUGCCUAUGGCUGAAUGUCGGCCGAUGCUGUUUGCUAAACAAGAGUGCCGGUGGCAGAGGAAUUAGAAGAAAUCCCUUCUUAAUUGGAAACAGGACAAAUCCAGGCAAACGGGUGCUGAGCCAGCAACAGCAUGGGACCAGCUCGCCUUCUGUGGGUAUCAUUGAAAUUCAGCAUCCUUCACUGCCUCAAACAUUGAGGUCCUGCAGGUUAGGUCUCCACAAUUAUUUGCCAGAGAACACAUGCCCCGGGCUCACAUCUCCCUUACUGUACAGGUCCCAGAGAUGUGCUUUCUGUGCCUCUACAAACACAGUUCUGAGAUGCUGUGGGGAAAAUAUCUCACUGAAACUGCCUAACUCUGACCUACAAAUGGCCGGGGCGUCGUGGUGUUGCUGCUUUAACGCUGCUUUGUUAAGGAGUCCCGCAGACGGGGCCCUGGGCCUGCCUCCGCGGCCUGCUUCUCGCAUCCCUUCAGGCCGCCAUCUUGCGCCACCGCGUCGCCAUGGAAACGCGAAGCCCCACCGCGUCGCCAUGGUAGCCCGAAG